rnacentral:rRNA from 1 species
GAUGAACGCUGGCGGCGUGCCUAAUACAUGCAAGUCGAGCGAACGGACGAGAAGCUUGCUUCUCUGAUGUUAGCGGCGGACGGGUGAGUAACACGUGUAUAACCUACCUAUAAGACUGGGAUAAUUUCGGGAAACCGGAGCUAAUACCGGAUAAUAUUUUGAACCGCAUUGUUCAAAAGUGAAAGACGGUCUUGCUGUCUCUUAUAGAUGGAUCCGCGCUGCAUUAGCUAGUUGGUAAGGUAACGGCUUACGAAGGCAACGAUGCAUAGCCGACCUGAGAGGGGGAUCGGCCACACUGGAACUGAGACACGGUCCAGACUCCUACGGGAGGCAGCAGUAGGGAAUCUUCCGCAAUGGGCGAGAGCCUGACGGAGCAACGCCGCGUGAGUGAUGAAGGUCUUCGGAUCGUAAAACUCUGUUAUUAGGGAAGAACAUAUGUGUAAGUAACUGUGCACAUCUUGACGGUACCUAAUCAGAAAGCCACGGCUAACUACGUG